UACGAAGGGGACUAGCGUUGUUCGGAAUCACUGGGCGUAAAGCGCACGUAGGCGGAUGUGUCAGUCAGGGGUGAAAUCCCGGGGCUCAACCUCGGAACUGCCUUUGAUACAGCACGUCUCGAGUCCGGAAGAGGUGGGUGGAAUUCCUAGUGUAGAGGUGAAAUUCGUAGAUAUUAGGAAGAACACCGGUGGCGAAGGCGGCCCACUGGAUCGGUACUGACGCUGAGGUGCGAAAGCGUGGGGAGCAAACAGG
rnacentral:rRNA from 1 species